CCAAAUCAUUCAGCCCCUUUUCUCUUUCAUUCCUCCCCAUUUUCUAAGCUUACCGACUCACAAGAAGAGAACCCAAGUCAUAGGAAUUAAAAUUACACAAAACAGAUCAAGUUCUCACACUUUUAAGCUUGGAAACUGUAGAUUUUGAUGUUUAAUUCCAAUCCGAUUAAGGCCAUUUUAACACACGCAAUCUUCCAAAAGGACCAAACUUUUCACACAUUAACAUUGGAUUCGAGGUAAGUUGAAACUUAUGUUUUCUGUAUCACAAGAAUCAUAUGAUGUUUAUUUAUGUUUUGACAAAAUGGUUGUUGUUUAAAUGUGAUAUAAGGUUUAGAACAUUCAUGGUUGGCAUUGCACAUGUUUCUAGUAUAAGAGUUGAACGUAAUGAGAUUUUGCCAAAACGGAAGUGUGGUACUUGCUUGAUGGUCGGGUAGGCAAGGGAUGCCGGUGGGACCGGCAGACCCAACAAAAUGGUGGCAAAUACUUGAGGUUGAAAAACCAAGAUAUGGAAAGCCACGUUAAAUGUAAAAGAAUGCGGCUAAUACAUGAGGUUGUAAGACCAGUAUGAGAAACCCUGUAUUAUUUUUCUUAUUGACCAAUACUUAUGGACAGGUUCGGAAAACCACGGUCUAUCACUAUUGGUUAAGUAUCAAACUUCAAAGGUGACGAUGUACAGGUUUAGACGUUGAUUGAGUCUCCAGAGCUGUCAGACAGAGAUAUGUUCAUAUGCCAUUUGUCAAAAUAUAUAUAUAUAUAUAUAUAUGUCAAACAAUGGCAAUGACUUUAGCUUCAUGUUCGAUUUUUGAUUAAUGUAAAUGUUGUAUGUAAAAGAAAAACAAGAAAGCAAAAGAUGAAUUUCAAAUUCUAUGAUCUAUGUAAAUUCUUUGCAAAUAAAACCAUAA